CAAUAGACUACCCCGGUAGUCCACGCCGUAAACCGAUGAAUGCUAGGUGUUAGGGGUUUCGAUACCCUUGGUGCCGAAGUUAACACAUUAAGCAUUCCGCCUGGGGAGUACGUUCGCAAGAAUGAAACUCAAAGGAAUUGACGGGGACCCGCACAAGCAGUGGAGUAUGUGGUUUAAUUCGAAGCAACGCGAAGAACCUUACCAGGUCUUGACAUCCCUCUGAAUGUCCUAGAGAUAGGGCAGGCCUUCGGGACAGAGGAGACAGGUGGUGCAUGGUUGUCGUCAGCUCGUGUCGUGAGAUGUUGGGUUAAGUCCCGCAACGAGCGCAACCCUUGACUUUAGUUGCCAGCAUUAAGUUGGGCACUCUAGAGUGACUGCCGGUGACAAACCGGAGGAAGGCGGGGAUGACGUCAAAUCAUCAUGCCCCUUAUGACCUGGGCUACACACGUACUACAAUGGCCGGUACAACGGGAAGCGAAGUGGCGACACGGAGCCAAUCUUUAUAAGCCGGUCUCAGUUCGGAUUGCAGG
rnacentral:rRNA from 1 species